UGGCUCAGAAGUCUUCAGUUAUUUGCCCAGGGUCACUUGGCUGACUGUAGCAGAAUCAGGAUUUGAACCCAGGCCCGACUUCAAAGCCAAUCCUCUUCUCAUUGGGUUGCACCCCCAGCAUCAGCACAGGGACAAUUCCUCAGGCUGACUGGCCAAGGCCCCAUCUGUGAAAACAGGAUAGGAAACGGCAGCCUAACUCUAGGCAGAGCCCAGGCUCAGCCAGGGGGUCUACAGGGCUGAAGAGGCAGCUGGCCAGAGAUCCACAGGAAGCAUUUUGUUGACACAUCUUCAUCACUCUGGAAUUUGAGCAACAACAUUUACCCCUUCUGAAACUCACCCAGAGGAAGUGGAUUUUCUGACGCAGAUGAAGAGUGAGAACUGUCUACAUUUAAGUCUUCUUUGAGAACAAUACCAGCUGAGCGGCUCUUUGCAUUCCGGCUUCUUUUGAGAAUCUCUGAAGAUGAUUAAGUCGUUGUCAGCUGGCCCGGAACCAUAUCCUGCUCCACAAGCUUCAUCCUUGGCAAGGAGUUGCACCUGCCCAGAGAGAAAACCUUUUGAAACUGGCACAAAGGCACUGGAGAGACUGGCAAGGCCCCCCACUUGACGAUCUGGCUCAUCCAUCUGCACACUGACCAUGCUAAGAGCUAUCUGCAGUGUUGGAAAACUUCUCUAGCUGUGCUGUCCUCUAUAGUGGCACUAGCUGCCUGUGGCUUCUGAGCACUUCAACUGUGGCUGCAGAGACUAUGUUAAAUUGUAUUUAAUCAUAAUUAAUUUAAUUUUAGUUUCUGUACUGGGCAGGGCAGGUGCACAUUUCCUACCUGGCCACAGACAGUAAGCUCCAUAAGAGGCUGAUUGUGCCUGGUUUGCUUAUAGGCUUAUCCUCAGCACCUGCACCAGUCUAGAAUAUGAUUGGCACUCUAUUAAUUAAAAGUUCCCAGGUAAAUGAA